UACGAAGGGGGCUAGCGUUGUUCGGAAUUACUGGGCGUAAAGCGCGCGCAGGUGGUCUUUCAAGUCAGUGGUGAAAGCCCGGAGCUCAACUCCGGAACUGCCAUUGAAACUGUGAGACUUGAGGACGAGAGAGGUGAGUGGAAUUCCCAGUGUAGAGGUGAAAUUCGUAGAUAUUGGGAAGAACACCGGUGGCGAAGGCGGCUCACUGGCUCGUUUCUGACGCUCAGGCGCGACAGCGUGGGGAUCAAACAGG
rnacentral:rRNA from 1 species